rnacentral:rRNA from 1 species
GAUGAACGCUGGCGGCGUGCCUAAUACAUGCAAGUCGAGCGAACAGACGAGGAGCUUGCUCCUCUGACGUUAGCGGCGGACGGGGGAGUAACACGCGUAUAACCUACCUAUAAGAGUGGGAGAAAUUCGGGAAACCGGAGCGAAUAUCGGAUAAUAUAUUUAACCGCGUCGUUCAAUAGUGAAAGACGGUGUUGCUGUCACUUAUAGAUUGAUUGGCGCCGAAUUGGCUAGUUGGUAAGGUAACGGCUUACCAAGGGAUCGACGGGUAGCCGACCUGAGAGGGGGAUCGGCAAAACGGGAACUGAACAACGGUCAAGACUCCUACGGGAGGAAGAAGGAGGGAAUCUUCCGAAAUGAGGGAAAGCCUACCGGACCACCGCCCGGUGAGUGAUGCGGCUCUUCGGAUCGUAAAACUCUGUUAUUAGGGCGGAACAAAUGUGUAAGUAAAUAUGCACGGCUUGACGGUACCUAAUCAGAAAGCCACGGCUAACUACGUG